rnacentral:rRNA from 1 species
GGUGAAAAGCACCCCGGAAGGGGAGUGAAAUAGAACCUGAAACCGUGUGCUUACAAGUAGUCAGAGCCCGUUAAUGGGUGAUGGCGUGCCUUUUGUAGAAUGAACCGGCGAGUUACGAUUUGAUGCAAGGUUAAGCAGUAAAUGUGGAGCCGUAGCGAAAGCGAGUCUGAAUAGGGCGUUUAGUAUUUGGUCGUAGACCCGAAACCAGGUGAUCUACCCUUGGUCAGGUUGAAGUUCAGGUAACACUGAAUGGAGGACCGAACCGACUUACGUUGAAAAGUGAGCGGAUGAACUGAGGGUAGCGGAGAAAUUCCAAUCGAACCUGGAGAUAGCUGGUUCUCUCCGAAAUAGCUUUAGGGCUAGCCUCAAGUGAUGAUUAUUGGAGGUAGAGCACUGUUUGGACGAGGGGCCCCUCUCGGGUUACCGAAUUCAGACAAACUCCGAAUGCCAAUUAAUUUAACUUGGGAGUCAGAACAUGGGUGAUAAGGUCCGUGUUCGAAAGGGAAACAGCCCAGACCACCAGCUAAGGUCCCAAAAUAUAUGUUAAGUGGAAAAGGAUGUGGCGUUGCCCAGACAACUAGGAUGUUGGCUUAGAAGCAGCCAUCAUUUAAAGAGUGCGUAAUAGCUCACUAGUCGAGUGACACUGCGCCGAAAAUGUACCGGGGCUAAACAUAUUACCGAAGCUGUGGAUUGUCCUUUGGACAAUGGUAGGAGAGCGUUCU